AUUGAACGCUGGCGGCAGGCUUAACACAUGCAAGUCGAGCGGAGUGAUGGUGCUUGCACUAUCACUUAGCGGCGGACGGGUGAGUAAUGCUUAGGAAUCUGCCAUUUAGUGGGGGACAACAUUCCGAAAGGAAUGCUAAUACCGCAUACGUCCUACGGGAGAAAGCAGGGGAUCUUCGGACCUUGCGCUAAAUGAUGAGCCUAAGUCGGAUUAGCUAGUUGGUGGGGUAAAGGCCUACCAAGGCGACGAUCUGUAGCGGGUCUGAGAGGAUGAUCCGCCACACUGAGACUGAGACACGGCCCAGACUCCUACGGGAGGCAGCAGUGGGGAAUAUUGGACAAUGGGCGGAAGCCUGAUCCAGCCAUGCCGCGUGUGUGAAGAAGGCCUUUUGGUUGUAAAGCACUUUAAGCGAGGAGGAGGCUCUCCUAGUUAAUACCUAGGAAGAGUGGACGUUACUCGCAGAAUAAGCACCGGCUAACUCUGUGCCAGCCGCCGCCGUAAGAC
rnacentral:rRNA from 1 species